GCAUUACCGAACGACGCAGUUUUCUUCUGUAGUAACUGGGUCGAAUUCCAGCGCCAUCUUGUGAUGUAAUCAGGGUAAGUCAGACGUAAACAACUGAGGCUGAGUAUGUGAAGCGGAGGGAGUUGUGAGCGAUUUCAGUGAAGAUUUGAACGAUUUAUCUGUGGUUUUGGAGGAAGAAGAGGGAUGGAGUGAUGAAGGAUCUGAUUCUACUGGAGGACGGCAGCUGUUUAUUGAGCCAUAUAGUUCAGGAAGCAACAAUGACUCCAACGUUUUUGGGCCAACAGAGAAGGGUGGAGAUCUGUAGCCUUCAAACCACUGAAUGGUAACAAACAGAUCAGGAAACCUCCGUCUGUCAUGAGCUCCACCCGGCUGGAGCGCACUGGGAAGGAAAUCCAGGGCCCCCCCUUCUGCUAAACAGCCUACAGGACUACAGGAGAGGAAGGAAGAGAGCAGUUUAUGAAGCAGAACAUUAAACACUCCUGUCACCCAAGCCUUCCUCCAGAGACACAUUUAGGACGUCCUGAGGGACAGAAGAACCUUCAUUGUUCUACAUCACAUGUAAGGUUGGUGUUUUGACAGACUGAUGGAGCAGCAAUUAAAGCCCUCAGAACACCACUGAGAAUCAUUUUGAAGUUUAUUUGAAUUUUAAAGUUCCUCAGCUGUUAAAGUUACUUAAUAAUCAUUUUUUUCUCCCAAAGGUACACAAUUAAAUGAAUCACAAGCAACUUA